GACGAACGCUGGCGGCGUGCUUAACACAUGCAAGUCGAACGGAAAGGCCCUGCUUUUGUGGGGUGCUCGAGUGGCGAACGGGUGAGUAACACGUGAGUAACCUGCCCUUGACUUUGGGAUAACUUCAGGAAACUGGGGCUAAUACCGGAUAGGAGCUCCUGCUGCAUGGUGGGGGUUGGAAAGUUUCGGCGGUUGGGGAUGGACUCGCGGCUUAUCAGCUUGUUGGUGGGGUAGUGGCUUACCAAGGCUUUGACGGGUAGCCGGCCUGAGAGGGUGACCGGCCACAUUGGGACUGAGAUACGGCCCAGACUCCUACGGGAGGCAGGAGUGGGGAAUAUUGCACAAUGGGCGGAAGCCUGAUGCAGCAACGCCGCGUGCGGGAUGACGGCCUUCGGGUUGUAAACCGCUUUCGCCUGUGACUAAGCGUGAGUGACGGUAAUGGGUAAAGAAGCACCGGCUAACUACGUG
rnacentral:rRNA from 1 species